CCUACGGGUGGCAGCAGUGGGGAAUAUUGGACAAUGGGCGAAAGCCUGAUCCAGCCAUGCCGCGUGUGUGAAGAAGGCCUUCGGGUUGUAAAGCACUUUCAGUGGGGAAGAAAGCCUUGGGGCUAAUACCCUCGAGGAAGGACAUCACCCACAGAAGAAGCACCGGCUAACUCCGUGCCAGCAGCCGCGGUAAUACGGAGGGCGCGAGCGUUAAUCGGAAUUACUGGGCGUAAAGCGCGCGUAGGCGGUCUGAUAAGCCGGUUGUGAAAGCCCCGGGCUCAACCUGGGAACGGCAUCCGGAACUGUCAGGCUAGAGUGCAGGAGAGGAAGGUAGAAUUCCCGGUGUAGCAGUGAAAUGCGUAGAGAUCGGGAGGAAUACCAGUGGCGAAGGCGGCCUUCUGGACUGACACUGACGCUGAGGUGCGAAAGCGUGGGUAGCAAACAGGAUUAGAUACCCGGGUAGUC
rnacentral:rRNA from 1 species